CAUAGUAUACAUGGAAUAUAUAGUUUUCAUAAUGUAUAUACAUGUAAAGUAAUAUACAUAGAAUAAUGAUUAAUUAAAGGUAUGUUGCAAAUAAACUUUGUACCAUUGUAAUUAAAAUCUACAAAUCUUUUUAUAUUUGUUACUUUUAAUACAUUGAGUAAUAUUUUUGUAUACGAUGUCUUAGUAAAAAUGUAAUUUUUAAUUAUUUCUGAUUUUUCAUAUUAAUGUAAAAUUCAAAUAAGAUAGGCGGCUGUGAAAUGCAAUACGUCAAUAGUUGCAAUGUAGUACAAGGACACUCGCUUAUCGCAAGACGUUAUUUCCGCUUAUUGACAUUUAAUUAAAAUAAGCUUCAAGAACUUCUAUAUGUUGUUUGUUAAUGCGAAGAUUGGUUAAUGAAACAAAAUAUUUAAAAAAUCAUUUCCUAAUACCUAAUGUAUAUUGUUACAUUUGUCACGUUACAAAAAUAUACAAUACAUGUUACCAUAAUAGUAGCAAGUUGCUUGAUUUUUAAUUUAACAUGUUAAUUUCAUUGCAUUUAAUUGAACACCUGUUUCAAAUUGUUUUAUAAAACUACAGGUGCGAUAAUAUAAAUUUAUGCGCGCGCGCGCGUAACGAGGAGCUAUGGAUAAAGGAGAACAGGAGAACGAAUGUAAUCAAUAUAUAACAUAAUAAAAAUCAUUUUAUAUGUAGUAUAAAAUGAUAUUUUAUUAUACUUUGUUGCAGUGAUUAAAAGUAUAAGUUUCUUUCAUGUAACUUAUAUACUACUUAUAAUAACCACAGUAUUUGAAAUAAUUAAUUUUAUAAUUAUUUACAUCUUCUAUGUGAUAGUUUUGAGCUUAUCUGAAGGUGCAUUAAAAGCAGUUUAUUUAAAUGUUUUUAUCAGUAAAUUUAGGCACAUCCCUGUGAAUCGUACGCAUGACUCGCACCCUUCUACGCCUGUAACGGAAGUGAAACGAAGACCAGAGACAGUGGCGGAUCUAGAGGAGGAGUGAUGGAGGCGAUAAUCCCUUAAUAGAUAUUAUUUUUAAGAAAGGAGUAUUAGGAAUGACUGGAUUUGGUUACUUGGAUUACAAUCGGCUAAAAAUAUUAAUAAAUAAGCCAAAAAACAGUUUGAAAUCGAGAGGAAAAAGGAUUUAAAAACAUUUCGCUUCCACCCUCAAGAAGGACUUCUGGAUCCGCCCCUGACCAGCGAUAAUAGCACCCACUUGUCGGCUAGCUGAUACCGUGGCAAGUGCAACUCUGCGCCCAUCCGUUUGUCCAAACGAUUAAUGUCCUUCUAUAGGAAUGUUUUAAAAUUAAUGUGGACAUCUUAAUUCUUCAACAACCGGUGAAUUACCUCUAGUUUAAUAUAGUUCGGAGUGAUUGUUCAUUUUUUAAAUUAAAUGCUGCACCGAAGGUGUCUACUUACCUCAUACAUGAUGUUUAUAAUACAUUUAGAUUAACUGAAGAAUUUCAUUGAAUCAAUUAACAAUGGAUGUUACAAUGAAAAAUGCAAGUAGAGGAAGCAGCUGGGUCUGUCCAAAUGAUAGACAUUUAGCACUGAGAGCAAAGUUGAGGACAGGCUGGUCUGUAAAAACUGGUUCUUUAGAUUCAAACUGGGGUCAUUGUUCUAAUUUUUAUUCAAGUGGUACAAAUCGAUGUGCGCAGUCUUUUGUACUUACCGAAGAAGAGCAACAGACAAUCAUACAGGUCAUCCAACGAGCCGAGGCUUUAGAUUUGUCAGAACAAGAAAGGAUUGGUAGAUUGGUAGAAAGAUUGGAAAACAUGAAACGUAAUGUAUGUAUGGUCACAACGACCAGAUUGAAUGAAAGAAAGAACUGCAGUAGCAGAUGCUCUAGAAGCGCGCAUUGCACAUGCUCUUGUGCUCUUUGUGGUGAGAAAUUUGGUACUGUAUUAGGCGCGACACCGAGUCUCUGCAAAGAUUGUCGUAAAUACAUAUGCCAGAAGUGUGGCAUUGAAACGAACGAUCUUAAUUCAAUGUUUUCAAAUAUUCCAACAAUGAGAGAGAAAGCACAAGAAACAACAACUAUGCAACGAAUCAUUAAACGAUCUAGCAGCAGUCAGAAACAGUAUCUUUGUCGAAUAUGCGCUGAGACCAGAGAAAUGUGGAAAAAGAGUGGUGCUUGGUUUUUUAAAGGAAUGCCAAAGUAUAUCUUACCAGAGAAAAAGGAACGAGGAUGGUCGAGAUCCGUUCACAAAACAUCUACUUGGAUAAGUGGAGGUAAUAAAUCUCUUGAAUCAUCUGAACUUCAAGAUUCUUCUUCUGAUGAAGAAGCAACGAGACGUUUAGCAUUAGCCAGAAGACAAUCCAGUUCAUUCUCCAGCUUACAAAAGAAUCAAGACAGUAUUACUAACAAAACUCAUUCAUCAUUUUCAAAUUCUGCUCAAUCAACUAGCAGCAUAUGUAAAACACCAUCAGGACAACCAUCGAACGGUCUUUCACCAUUGAAUAACCGUGACGAAUGUUCAGAUCAAUUAGACAAAUCAACUCUAUCGAUUACCUCUCAGUGCAGUCGCCUUUCACCAACUAGUCCUCGUUCACGAACAAAUAGUAAAACCGCUAACGAUUAUCAAAUCGAGCAACGUGUAUCGUUCGAAGAUGAGAUCAUGGAUGAAAAGAACAAAAAAUUUCACGAUAUUAACGAUUCGAAUGAUGACGUUCAUAAAGCGGAAUUCAAUUCACGUAAUCAGUCUAAAAUCUCUCAGGUACAAUCACUCAGAUCGAAUUCUUCGACGACGAUGGAACAGUUCCAAGUUCACGAGAAAUGCACAAAUCAGGAAGGAAGUCGAUCGUGUCCAGAACAGGAGAAUCUGUUCAACAUUCCACGACUACAAAGGUGGGAAUGCGAAACGGAACAAAGUUAUGGAACUCUAGAAGUCUCCUUGCGAUACGACCCAGCGGUUCAGUGCCUCCAAUGCAAAGUGGAACGAGCACGAGGUUUACGACCAAUGGAUAUUCACGGUCUUGCCGAUCCAUUUUGCAAACUCAACAUACUACCAGUAGCAACAAUCACGACUACGAAACGACUUCGAACAAAAACAGUUCACAAAACACGGGAUCCGGAGUUCAACGAGAUACUAAACUUCUAUGGGACAACAGAAACCGAUGUAUGGAACGGGAAAGCAUUGCACAUCAUGAUACUCCAAGACGAUCAAGCAGGACAAGACUUUCUAGGAGAAGCGAAGUUUCCUCUGCACGAGUUACAACCACGUCAAACGAAACAUUAUAAUGUUUCGCUACAAGAUCAUUAUCCAGUGGACAAUGAAGAGGCAGCUUGGGGCGUGUUUCCUACUGGACGUGGACAAAUUCAUCUGAGUCUAGGCUACUGUACAAGACGUGGAGCAUUGAUGGUUACAAUUCACCGAGCUACCAAUCUUCUUCCUAUGGACAGCAACGGAUCGUCUGAUCCAUUUGUCAAGUUGUGCCUUAUAGAAAAUGUGACGAACAAUCAUCGACAGCAUAUUUUCGACUAUUCGUUUGCACGUAUUACUAUUAGGAAGCUAGUGUCGAGAAAAGUUACAAAUUCUAAUUCACAAAAUACCAGAGUCAAAUGGAAAACUUUAAAUCCAGAAUGGAACGAAGAGUUUGCUUUUGCUGCUCGAUUAACAGACCUCAUGAAAAUUACGUUAUGUCUUACUGUAUGGGAUAAGGACUUUGGUAAAAGUAAUGAUUAUCUAGGCGGACUUGAGUUAAGUUGUAACAGUAAAGGAGCCCGAUUACGACAUUGGAUAGACGCAAUCAAAUUUCCAGAUCAUCGUCAUCAAGCUUGGCACAACUUAACUGAUACUAUUUUGCCUACAGAAUGAAAGAUAAUAUUUCUAUUUUUCUUAACAUACUACUCGAGACAUUUUAAUAAGACCUGUAAUCAAUGUGAAUCAUAUAAUCUACAAAAUAUAAUUUAUUUACACAUGAUCUACACAAUAUUGCUCAAAGUGUAUUACUUAAAAACAAAAAAGAUAAGUGGAAAAUUUUACAACAAAAUAGGAAUUAGAGGAAAAGAAGAUUUAUUUGAAAGAUUUUAA